GACACUUUGCAUAGACAGCACAUGCUUCAGUGGUCUGGGAGUGUUCAUAUCCCUGUGAGUUUAACACUUCAUGACUGAGAGCUGUCCUUCAUGACAACAGAACCCACAACAACCAUGACUUUUAUCACCAUCUUCAUCUGGAUAUUUGCCCUCUGUCUCCAAGAGUCCAGAGGCCAGAUCACUGUAACUCAGACUCCUGCAGUGAAAACUGUUUCAGUGGGUCAGUCAGUCAGUCUCAGCUGUAAGACCAGCAGUGCUGUAUACAGUGACAGCAAUGGACAGUGGUUGGCCUGGUACCAACAGAAACCUGGAGGAGCUCCUCAACUCCUAAUAUACUGGGCUAAAACCCUUCAGUCUGGGACUCCAUCUAGAUUCAGUGGCAGUGGAACUGGGAGUGACUUCACUCUGACCAUCAGUGGAGUCCAGGCUGAAGAUGCAGGAGAUUACUACUGUCAGAGUUUACACUACAUCAAUAGUAAAUAUGUGUUCACACAGUGAUACAGAGCCGUACAAAAACCUCCCUCAGUCAGACUGCACAGUGACUGUACUGCUACAGCUGGGACCUACUGCAGGUGCUGAGGGGAGGAGAUGAUCCAGUACAAUGACACAGUGUGUAGUAGAGCUGAACAACAAUAGAGUCAAACUAGAGCUAUAUCUAGAAGACCUUAGAUCAUAACUGAUCACUAAAUGUUUCUCCUGAUCAUUAACUACAUGUUGACUCUGUUGAGUAACUCAAGGAAAACCAUCAACCAAUCUGAAUAGAGAUGAUGUGUAAUGAUCAAAACCUCUAAAGAUGACCUGUGUUUUGAAUAGCUAGAAUUGGAUCAACAUGAUUCAAACACAUACAAUAAAGCCCCCUAAACAUUACCCAGACAUCCUCCCUCACACC